AGAGCUCAAAUUUUAAAUCUGGCGUUCUCCGGGCGUCCGAGUUGUAAUCUAGAGAAGCGUUUUCCGCGUUGGACCCGCCGUAAGUUACCUCGAACGGUACAUCAUAGAGGGUGAGAAUCCCGUAUGUCGGUGGGAGCCCAGGGCUUUACGAUGCGCUCUCGACGAGUCGAGUUGUUUGGGAAUGCAGCUCAAAAUGGGAGGUAAAUUCCUUCUAAAGCUAAAUACGUCGGGAUGACCGAUAGCGAA
rnacentral:rRNA from 1 species